rnacentral:misc_RNA from 1 species
AAGGAUCAUUAACGAAUAGUGAGGACUUGGUUGUAGCUGGCUUUCUCCUAGAGAGCAUGUGCACGCCGAGUUCAAACAUUUCAACUCUUUAACCUCCUGUGCACUUUUGUGGAUCGUAGAUGGAUAAAUCUCUCAAAGUAACAUUUGGUCUUGGGGUUUGCGCCUAACACACGCUUUCUUCCCUACAUCUGUCCGCGAUUCAUGUCUUUUUAUACAAACUUUUAAAUAACAACCUAGAAUGCUUAAUAGUUGGGAACUUUUGUAACCCUUCUUAAAUCUUAUACAACUUUCAACAACGGAUCUCUUGGCUCUC